AUGUCGUCUUCCCAUUGUCCCUCUGUCUCUAUGUCUAUAUAUCCAUUUCUCCUUCCCUCUCUCCUCCUUUCUCUCUCCUCCUUUCUCUCUCUCUCUCUCUCUCUCCCCCCUCCCCUCCCUCUCCCCUCCCUCCUUCCUUCCCCCCCUUUCUCUCUCCCUCUGUCUCUGAUUCUCUUUCCCUACCUGGAUUCUCCCUUGGCCCACAUAGCUUUAUCUCUUUUGCUAAUAGUAUUCUGGUUUUUAAUACUUGAGUUGACACUAGGAUUCCAACAUGAGUGGAAGCCAAUCAUACUGUACAGAAACCUUAUUUUUAAUUGUCAUCUACUUUUUGUGGGUUGCCAUGGACAAAGAUUCUUUAGCCCUGUCUGCUAGUGGUAAGCUUCUGUUCACAUUUAGCUUGACUGGUCCUGGAACAGCAGACAGUCUCUCUUGACUCCUCAAAACCUUUCAAGCUUUGUAGUCCUUACCAGAGCUUCAAUUCCAUAGCCUUAGCCUUUCAGAAAUCCAAAGUCACCUUCACCCUAUGGUAUUGAAGGGGAACUUUAGAAAAUAACUAGGUUGGAAGAUUCUUCACCUUGUUAGUAUCCUUCAUGUCUCCUUCAGUCUGGUGAAACCUUCUUAAAAUAACGUAUUAAAUACGUAAAAUGAAAUAUGUAGAAUCACAAAGGAAACCAAUUUUAUUGAAAUUCAUUAUAAAAUAAAUAUUUUUUAAAAUAUAAACUCAAGAAUAAAAACCUUUGAUCUAGCCCAGGUGCUUUUUACAAAAAAAGGAAACAGGCUCUUAUAUAGAAAGUGACUUGUAAAAGAGACUACAUUUUAGUCUCACUUGUACGGAUAGUUACAUACAAGUGAGACUAAAAUGUAGUUCCUUUAUUCUUUUCCUAACCUUACUGUGUUGUCUUCCUACUGUAAACAGAGCUAUUUGAGAUUUCCUUUCUGUAGAUUGUAUGAUGUCUACCAGAGCCUAUAUACUGUAUUUUUCCAGUGGAAUAUCUGUUCUGAAGAUAAAAUAGUCCAGGUGUUAAGUUUGAAUGUUUCUCAGAAUGGGCAGCAGAAGACUGAGGAGUUGGAGCAGUGAGGGAGAAAGCCAACUUUGUAUAUAAGAACAAAGAUUUAGAUCCCAUGGAUAUGAGUUUAUAUAGUUCAUUGAUUGCUUUGUAUAGAUUUGGUAUGAAUUUAUCCUGUAUCCAAAACAUGUGCUAUUUCCACCUUUAAAAAAGACAAACUGUCUUGUGCCUAUAAUAUUCUCAUGUUUUGUAACCCUUGGCUUACUACUGAAAUUCUAGACUAACAGACCAAGUUCAUUCUCAAAAGUUACUCAACAACAGUUCUAUCGUUUCUUCCUAGGAACGUUGAAAUUUGAAUCUUUUUUUUUUUUUUUUGGCCAAAAAAAGGAAAAAAAGCCCAAAGCUCACUUUUAUUAAACUAACAAGAUAUUGAAUGUAGAACAGGUUUUAUUUAACUUGGGGGGGAAAAAACCUGUAAGGAUCUGUAAACAAGCCCUAAAAUAGAUGCAAUGGGGCAUGAGGAAGGGGGAAAACUGCCAUCUGCUACAUUGGGGUAUCUCCCAUGAAACUGGGUGAGCAUGCUCUUUAUCUGUGGGAAGACUUGUAGUAGGACAAAUCCCUUAUUGUUCCUUAUGAUUAGGGGCUUGUAUCAAAGAUAAUUGGUAGUUGGAAGAAAAAGGAGCUUGAGGCAUUCUUAUCACUCUAUCCCUAAUAAUGGAAGCCUCUCCCAGCUCCCCUUUCUUCCUUAGCUGCUUCCUGAUCUCCCACAAACUAGGCCAAAGGGCCUCUGUGACCACCUCCCUCACUUCUGCUCACAGCCGUUACCUGAUGUCACUACCUUCUCCACCCCCCCACCUCAGGGUUCCAGCAGUUUUGCCAACUACACAGAUCCCCUGACUUCUGGGAACACGGUAUUUGCCCUGGAGAAGAUGGUGGUGCUCAUCAUACACAUCAAAAAUGGCUUCUUUUCUAAAUAAAAACAAAACAAAACAUGGCCUGAGGCAGCGAGCAAGAUGUUACUCUGGCUAGGUCUUACCUUUACCUGAAAUACACUGAUAACAGAAAAUUCCCUCUUUACUUGCUUUUGUUCCUUUCUUCUAUUCCUUGGCUUGAUCCUUCUUCUACUGGCACAUCUUCUGUUGCUGACUCUCUUUCCCCUCCACCUGUUCUGAUGUUGCCCAGGUAGCUCUUCUUGCUGCCCCCUCCUACCUUUAAAAGCCAUUGUGACAAUAGCACAUGAUGAUAAGAAUAUGUGCUUGUCUAUGAGCAUAAAGUGGAAUCUUGAACCCUGGAUGAUGCUGUUUCUACUUUGUGUUCUGUUCUCUAAACAUUAUACAGAUGAUAGAAUAGUGAUCCUGAGAGAUGAUUCUGGGCCAGUAUAGUGAUAAAGGAAUUAAAGAUUUGUGGAUCACAACAUGUAAUAAUUCACCAUGUCAAUGAGAGCUCUGAUGCACUUUGGGAAUACCAGCCCCUUAUAAGUGGGCUUAUGUUCCUAGUUCCCUGGAUCACCCAAACCCACGGAUUGCCUUCUUGUCUUCUUAAAGGGAAACCAUAUUAGCUUAUGUGAAACGAAUGCCAUCCCUACC
rnacentral:lncRNA from 1 species